ACGAACGCUGGCGGCGUGCUUAACACAUGCAAGUCGAACGGAAAGGCCCUGCUUGCAGGGUACUCGAGUGGCGAACGGGUGAGUAACACGUGGGUGAUCUGCCCUGCACUUCGGGAUAAGCCUGGGAAACUGGGUCUAAUACCGGAUAGGAGCCAUUUUUAGUGUGAUGGUUGGGAAGUUUUUUCGGUGUAGGAUGAGCUCGCGGCCUAUCAGCUUGUUGGUGGGGUAAUGGCCUACCAAGGCGGCGACGGGUAGCCGGCCUGAGAGGGUGGACGGCCACAUUGGGACUGAGAUACGGCCCAGACUCCUACGGGAGGCAGCAGUGGGGAAUAUUGCACAAUGGGCGCAAGCCUGAUGCAGCGACGCCGCGUGGGGGAUGACGGCCUUCGGGUUGUAAACUCCUUUCGCUAGGGACGAAGCUUUUUGUGACGGUACCUAGAGAAGAAGCACCGGCUAACUACGUG
rnacentral:rRNA from 1 species